GGGGGAACCUAAGAUUUUUCCAGAUGAAAAAAAAGAUUUAAAGUGACAAGUUAAAUUAAAAUAAGACAUUUUAUAAAAAUUUGUCUAGUAGUUUUUGCUUGUCCGCGAAAGUUUGAAUGCCGAUAAUUUUAGAACUAGGCCUCUCUUCUCUGCAGAGGCUUUUGUUGGCUAUGAUUACGAUGAGUAGUAUUGAGAUACAUUUCACUACGCUUUACAUGGCGGACCUUGGGACACGAGCGGAGCUGCUGGGAGAAGGAGCGUAAAGCCUCUGCGGAGGAGAGAGCCUUGUCACGUUCAAUCCAAUAAAAAAAAAAUUAAAAUCCUGACCCCCUCGAAGUUUAAUUUAAGACCCUAAAUUUUCUGUUCAAAUGUAUAUUUUUAAUGGAAGUGGACUUUCUGUGCUCCCAGGGAAACCACCUACAGUAACCAAGUACGCAUUCAGAUUGGCUUAGAGAAAAAUUGUCAACAAAUGCCCUGAUUGGUCGAGAACGAAAUUUUCCCUUGUUACACUCACAGUACAUUGUUUCUGAUAAAAGAUUGCUGUUGGUGCUUUGAAUAUUAAUAUAUAAUAAAUAACUAAGGGUGU